AUUGAACGCUGGCGGCAUGCUUUACACAUGCAAGUCGAACGGCAGCGCGGGCUUCGGCCUGGCGGCGAGUGGCGAACGGGUGAGUAAUGCAUCGGAACGUGCCCAGCAGUGGGGGAUAGCCCGGCGAAAGCCGGAUUAAUACCGCAUACGACCUGAGGGUGAAAGCGGGGGACCGAAAUGCCUCGCGCUAUUGGAGCGGCCGAUGUCGGAUUAGCUAGUUGGUGGGGUAAAGGCUUACCAAGGCGACGAUCCGUAGCUGGUCUGAGAGGACGACCAGCCACACUGGGACUGAGACACGGCCCAGACUCCUACGGGAGGCAGCAGUGGGGAAUUUUGGACAAUGGGGGCAACCCUGAUCCAGCCAUGCCGCGUGCGGGAAGAAGGCCUUCGGGUUGUAAACCGCUUUUGUUCGGGAAGAAAUCCUCUGGGCUAAUACCCCGGGGGGAUGACGGUACCGGAAGAAUAAGCACCGGCUAACUACGUG
rnacentral:rRNA from 1 species